ACUUUUGUGCUUGCACAGAAUGAUUAGUGGCGAACGGGUGAGUAACACGUGAGUAACCUGCCCCUGACUCUGGGAUAAGCCUGGGAAACUGGGUCUAAUACCGGAUAUGCACCGUGGACCGCAUGGUUUUUGGUGGAAAGAUUUUUUGGUCAGGGAUGGACUCGCGGCCUAUCAGCUUGUUGGUGAGGUAAUGGCUCACCAAGGCGACGACGGGUAGCCGGCCUGAGAGGGUGACCGGCCACACUGGGACUGAGACACGGCCCAGACUCCUACGGGAGGCAGCAGUGGGGAAUAUUGCACAAUGGGCGAAAGCCUGAUGCAGCGACGCCGCGUGAGGGAUGACGGCCUUCGGGUUGUAAACCUCUUUCAGUAGGGAAGAAGCGAAAGUGACGGUACCUGCAGAAGAAGCGCCGGCUAACUACGUGCCAGCAGCCGCGGUAAUACGUAGGGCGCAAGCGUUAUCCGGAAUUAUUGGGCGUAAAGAGCUCGUAGGCGGUUUGUCGCGUCUAUCGUGAAAGUCCGAGGCUCAACCUCGGAUCUGCGGUGGGUACGGGCAGACUAGAGUGAUGUAGGGGAGACUGGAAUUCCUGGUGUAGCGGUGAAAUGCGCAGAUAUCAGGAGGAACACCGAUGGCGAAGGCAGGUCUCUGGGCAUUAACUGACGCUGAGGAGCGAAAGCAUGGGGAGCGAACAGGAUUAGAUACCCUGGUAGUCCAUGCCGUANACGUUGGGCACUAGGUGUGGGGGACAUUCCACGNUUUCCGCGCCGUAGCUAACGCAUUAAGUGCCCCGC
rnacentral:rRNA from 1 species